UACGUAGGUGGCAAGCGUUGUCCGGAUUUAUUGGGUUUAAAGGGUGCGUAGGCGGUCCUAUAAGUCAGUGCUGAAAUAUCCCGGCUUAACCGGGAGAGUGGCAUUGAUACUGCAGGACUUGAGUAAAGUUGAGGUAGGCGGAAUUGACGGUGUAGCGGUGAAAUGCUUAGAUAUCGUCAAGAACACCGAUAGUGAAGACAGCUUACUAAACUUUAACUGACGCUGAGGCACGAAAGUGUGGGGAUCAAACAGG
rnacentral:rRNA from 1 species